rnacentral:rRNA from 1 species
UACGUAGGGUGCAAGCGUUAAUCGGAAUUACUGGGCGUAAAGCGUGCGCAGGCGGUGAUGUAAGUCAGAUGUGAAAUCCCCGGGCUUAACCUGGGAACUGCGUUUGAAACUACAAGGCUAGAGUGUGGCAGAGGGGGGUGGAAUUCCACGUGUAGCAGUGAAAUGCGUAGAGAUGUGGAGGAACACCGAUGGCGAAGGCAGCCCCCUGGGCCUGCACUGACGCUCAUGCACGAAAGCGUGGGGAGCAAACAGG